GGAGAUGUACCCAAGUGGUUGAAGGGUCCGGAUUCGAAAUCCGGUAGGCGCCGCAAGGCGUGCAAGAGUUCGAAUCUCUUCAUCUCCGCCA
rnacentral:tRNA from 1 species